GAAGACGUGCCUGAGUAAGGACUACCUUGAUAGAGUAGACACGGAACCCAGAAAUUCCCGUCUUCC
rnacentral:tRNA from 1 species